rnacentral:lncRNA from 1 species
AUGGCAAGAGUGUUUCACCAGCUUAAUCUGGAUGACAUGAAUGAUAGAAAUUAACUAGCUCCCAAAGCCUGAAGCCCAGAACCGUCUACUCAAUAGUUGGCUUCCAUCCUUGAAUCUCUUGGUAUAUAUUAGCAUCCACCUUCAUUGUCUUGUCCACUAGGCGUUGAGAAGAGGUACCAACUUUGAAAACCAUAAUCCAUCAACGUCUAGGCAGCUCAGUCUUGUGGUUGCACUCCUCUUGGUCGUCAAGGCUGCAUUGGUGAUGCUUGGCAAAUGAUACGAACACAAAUACAUCAAUAGUGAAGAAUGAAUUUACUCUGAAAUGCUUACCUAGUGGUUUCACUUUCUUUCCUUCCCUGCAACCAAUCACUUGGAGGAUUAUACAUAGUUUCCCCCACAUCCAUAACAAUAACAGAUCCUGCAAGGGCACGUAUACCAAAGGAGAAAAAGUGACAGUGAAAUAAGACUUAAUUUGCUGUUUCUGAUAUCUCCCUGUCAGUUCUACCGAUUCAGUUAAACCCACCAAAGGGCUAACAAACUCACCAAUUCACCGUUCUAAUCUGCAGAGACAUACUAGAGAGUAGUCACAAGGCAAUCUACUACACCACAAGAAGACAAUUU